rnacentral:RNase_P_RNA from 1 species
UUUGCAGGCCAGGCGGUCGCCGCUUCGAUUAAAACGGGGCGGAGGAAAGUCCGGGCUGCGCAGGGCGCGGCGCCUCGUAACGCGAGGACGGGGAAACUCGUGGAAAGUGCCACAGAAAUCAAACCGCCCCGUUCUUGGCGGGGUAAGGGUGAAACGAUGGCGUAAGAAACCAUCCUCUCCAAUGGUAACAUUGGUUUGGGUAAACCCCGUCGGCAGUAAGACCAAGUAAAGGAGAAGGAGUUGCCCGCUCCGUCUGACUCCUGGGUAGGUCGCUUGAGUUUGACGGCAACGUCAAUCCCAGAUAGAUGACCGCUAACCGUAUAUUAUUCUACUUUAUGCGGAUACAGAACCCGGCUUACGGUCUGCUUUAAUU